UCCUCCUUACAGAGGCAGUUUGUUUCGAGUUCCCGGCUUUAACCGCUGGCAACAAAACAUGAGGGUUGCGCUCGUUGCGGGACUUAACCCAACAUUUCACAACACGAGCUGACGACAGCCAUGCACCACCUGUGUACCACCCUCGAAGGCGACCGCUUUUCGGCGGCUUGCAGGUACAUGUCAAGCCCUGGUAAGGUUCUUCGCGUUGCAUCGAAUUAAGCCACAUGCUCCACCGCUUGUGCGGGCCCCCGCCAAUUCCUUUGAGUUUCAACCUUGCGGCCGUAGUCCCCAGGCGGUUCACUUAAUGCGUUAGCUGCGGCACUGAAAGAUAACUCCCAACACCUAGUGAACAUAGUUUAGGGCCAAGACUAC
rnacentral:misc_RNA from 1 species